AUUGAACGCUGGCGGCAGGCCUAACACAUGCAAGUCGAGCGGAUGAAGGGAGCUUGCUCCUGGAUUCAGCGGCGGACGGGUGAGUAAUGCCUAGGAAUCUGCCUGGUAGUGGGUGAUAACGUCCGGAAACGGGCGCUAAUACCGCAUACGUCCUGAGGGAGAAAGUGGGGGAUCUUCGGACCUCACGCUAUCAGAUGUGCCUAGGUCGGAUUAGCUAGUUGGUGGGGUAAAGGCCUACCAAGGCGACGAUCCGUAACUGGUCUGAGAGGAUGAUCAGUCACACUGGAACUGAGACACGGACAAGACUACUACGGGAGGCAGCAGUGGGGAAUAUUGGACAAUGGGCGAAAGCAUGAUCCAGCAAUGCCGCGUGUGAGAAGAAGGUCUUCGGAUUGGAAAGCACUUUAAGUUGGGAGGAAGGGCAGUAAGUUAAUACCUUGCUGUUUUGACGUUAACAACAGAAUAAGCACCGGCUAACUUCGUG
rnacentral:rRNA from 1 species